rnacentral:lncRNA from 1 species
AUUUUCAUAAAAAGUCAACGAAAAGUCAACAGUCAAUCCCAAAAAAGUCAACCGAGCCGCCGAUACGGUCAACUACCUUAAAACUUUAGAAUUUCACUAAACGGAUGUCAAAAAUGAACUUGGGGCGUCGAAAUUAAUCUAAGAGGGUUUCCGAGAAAAUUUUGAAAAAAGUCAACGCAAGGAAUACUCUAGGAAUAUUCCAGGAAUAUUUCGGAUCGAUUUUGGAAAUGGAUUGGGUUGAAUUCAGGUUAGGG